AAAUUGCUAUUAGAAAAUAUAAUUAAUACAUAUGAAAGUCCGUGGUCUAAAUGUUUAAUUAAAAAAAGUAAGUAACCGACCGUCCCUAGAGCAAGUGGCAAAAGGGUUUGAUGGUUGGUAUCUGAGACCCAAGUUUGAAUCCUAGUUGAUUCAUAUUUCUAGCUAAGUUUAUUUCUAAAUGAAAUAAACGAAGCGAGUAGCAUGCUACUGUCACGCCCCGGGGUCCCUUUAGGUUAAAAACACAGCGGAAAAUUUAUUUUUUUUUGCAAACCUGACCCCAGGGUAUGCCAGAUCCGCCACAAAUACAGGGAAUCCACUGUUCACACGGACAGAGUCUCCCCUGUAUUUGCACGGCGUCGCACAAGUACAAGAGUAUAGCCAGGAAACAACCACAACCAAAUGAAUAUAAAGAUAACUAUACAUUCAUACAUUCACCAUUCACAUCACAGUUUUACAUUCAGUGUUUAAAUAGAAAUUCACGAAAAUUCUUUUGAAAACUGUUUCCUACACGGAAACCUUUAUUCGUUAAAAACGCUACCACGAGGGGUAGAAAACCUUUUAUUUUACAAAAUCCAGAAAUCCACAUUUUCAAAUGUAAAUAAACACUGAACCACAUAAACCAACUAAAUUAUUCAUCAGCCAAAAUAAGAAAAA
rnacentral:lncRNA from 1 species